UGAGGUCUGACAUAACCCGUCGAAAGGCGGGCUAACAUCAGAUGAUAUAUAAUCACGACAUCGUGGAAAUAUCAAAUCUUCGGAGCCUUGGGAUGAGCCUGCGUCUGAUUAGGUAGUUGGCGGAGUAAUAGCCCACCAAGCCUACGAUCAGUAGCUGGUCUGAGAGGAUGAUCAGCCACACUGGAACUGAGACACGGUCCAGACUCCUACGGGAGGCAGCAGUAAGGAAUAUUGCUCAAUGGGGGAAACCCUGAAGCAGCAACGCCGCGUGAAGGAUGAAAUACUUUGUAUGUAAACUUCUGUAAGAUGGGAAAAUAUUCUCCUCGGGAGAAUUGAUUGUACCAUCAGAGUAAGCCCCGGCUAACUACGUG
rnacentral:rRNA from 1 species